UUUUUUUUGAUGUGUGGUGAUUUUUGUGGUGCAUUGGUGCAUUUCAUUGUUGUGCGUUUCGUAACACUAUUGGUGCGCAUUAUUUUGUGUGUGUGUGUUUUUU